GACGUAGGUGGCGAACGUUAUCCGGAUUUAUUGGGCGUAAAGAGCGUGUAGGCGGCUUUACAGGUCCGUUGUGAAAACUCGAGGCUCAACCUCGAGACGCCGGUGGAAACCGUAAGGCUAGAGUCCGGAAGAGGAGAGUGGAAUUCCUGGUGUAGCGGUGAAAUGCGCAGAUAUCAGGAGGAACACCGGUGGCGAAGGCGGGUCUCUGGGCCGAUACUGACGCUGAGGAGCGAAAGCGUGGGGAGCGAACAGG
rnacentral:rRNA from 1 species